rnacentral:miRNA from 2 species
UGGACGGAGAACUGAUAAGGCU